CCUACGGUGUGCAGCAGUGGGGAAUAUUGGACAAUGGGCGAAAGCCUGAUCCAGCCAUGCCGCGUGUGUGAAGAAGGCCUUCGGGUUGUAAAGCACUUUCAGUGGGGAAGAAAGCCUUGGGGCUAAUACCCUCGAGGAAGGACAUCACCCACAGAAGAAGCACCGGCUAACUCCGUGCCAGCAGCCGCGGUAAUACGGAGGGUGCGAGCGUUAAUCGGAAUUACUGGGCGUAAAGCGCGCGUCGGCGGUCUGAUAAGCCGGUUGUGAAAGCCCCGGGCUCAACCUGGGAACGGCAUCCGGAACUGUCAGGCUAGAGUGCAGGAGAGGAAGGUAGAAUUCCCGGUGUAGCGGUGAAAUGCGUAGAGAUCGGAAGGAAUACCAGUGGCGAAGGCGGCCUUCUGGACUGACACUGACGCUGAGGUGCGAAAGCGUGGGUAGCAAACAGGAUUAGAUACCCGAGUAGUC
rnacentral:rRNA from 1 species